AGUGAACGCUGGCGGUAGGCCUAACACAUGCAAGUCGAACGGCAGCACAGUAAUAGUUUGCUCUUACGGGUUGCGAGUGGCGGACGUGUCAGGAAAACAUCCGACUCUACUUUUUCGUGUGGGUUAACGUAGGGAAACUUACGCCCAUACCGCAUAUCACCUACCGGUGAAAGCAGGGGAAAGUCUGACCUGGCGCGAAUGAAUUAGCCGAUUUCGGAUUAGCUAGUUGGGGGGGUAAAGGCCAACCAAGGCGCCGAUUCGUAGCUGGUCUGAGAGGAUGGUCAGCCACACUGGAGGUGGGACACGGUCCAGGCGCCUGCGGUAGGCAGCAGUGGGGAAUAUUAGGCAGUGGGCGCAAACCUGAUACAGCCAUACCGCGUCGGUGAAGGAAGCCUCCGGGUUGUAAAGACCGUUUGUUGGGAGAGAAAAGCAGCAGCCUGAUACCAAGCGGUAGUGACGGUACCCGGAGAAUAAGCACCGGCUAACUUCGUG
rnacentral:rRNA from 1 species